GCGUUGUUCGGAUUCAUUGGGCGUAAAGGGUGCGUAGGCGGCGCGGUAAGUCGGGUGUGAAAUCUCGGGGCUUAACUCCGAAACUGCAUUCGAUACUGCCGUGCUUGAGGACUGGAGAGGAGACUGGAAUUUACGGUGUAGCGGUGAAAUGCGUAGAUAUCUGGAGGAACACCGGUGGCGAAGGCGGCAUCCUGGACCGACACUGACGCUGAGGAGCGAAAGCCAGGGGAGCAAACGGG
rnacentral:rRNA from 1 species